rnacentral:rRNA from 1 species
GAUGAACGCUGGCGGCGUGCUUAACACAUGCAAGUCGAACGGUGAAGCAGGAGCUUGCUCUUGUGGAUCAGUGGCGGACGGGUGAGUAACACGUGAGCAACCUGCCCCUGACUCUGGGAUAAGCGCUGGAAACGGCGUCUAAUACUGGAUAUGUGAUGUGACCGCAUGGUCUGCAUCUGGAAAGAAUUUCGGUUGGGGAUGGGCUCGCGGCCUAUCAGCUCGUUGGUGAGGUAAUGGCUCCCCAAGGCGUCGAGGGGUAGCCGGCCUGAGAGGGUGACCGGCCACACUGGGACUGAGACACGGCCCAGACUCCUACGGGAGGCAGCAGUGGGGAAUAUUGCACAAUGGGCGGAAGCCUGAUGCAGCAACGCCGCGUGAGGGAUGACGGCCUUCGGGUUGUAAACCUCUUUUAGCAGGGAAGAAGCGAAAGUGACGGUACCUGCAGAAAAAGCACCGGCUAACUACGUGCCAGCCGCCGCCGUAA